rnacentral:rRNA from 1 species
GAUCAUGGCUCAGGAUAAACGCUGGCGGCGUGCCUAACACAUGCAAGUCGAACGAUCCCGCAAGGAGGUGGCGAAGGGUGAGUAACACGUGGGAAUCUACCUCCUCGCAGGGGAACAACCUCUCGAAAGAGAGGCUAAUACCCAAAAGGGUCAGAAAUGAUCAGAGUCGAAAGGCGUGAGGAGAGGAGCCCGCGGCCCAUCAGCUAGUUGGUGAGGUAAUUGGGCUUACCAAGGCUACGACGGGUAGGGGAUCUGAGAGGAUGUCCCCCACACUGGAACUGAAACACGGUCCAGACGCCUACGGGUGGCAGCAGUGAGGAAUAUUGGACAAUGGGCGAAAGCCCGACCCAGCAACGCCGCGUGGAGGAUGAAGGCCUUCGGGUCGUAAACUUCUUUAGAGGGAGACGAGAAAGGACGGUAUCCCUAGAAUAAGCGACGGCAAACUACGUG